rnacentral:rRNA from 1 species
GUUGAACGCUGGCGGCAGGCCUAACACAUGCAAGUCGAACGAGUGGCGGACGGGUGAGUAACGCGUAAGUAACUGCCUCAUAGCGGGGGAUAACUAUUGGAAACGAUAGCUAAUACCGCAUAAUGUGCGAUGGACCUAGGUUGUAUUAGCUAGUUGUUGGGGUAAAGGCCCACUAAGGCGACGAUACGUAGCCGAUCUGAGAGGGUGAUCGGCCACACUGGGACUGAGACACGGCCCAGACUCCUACGGGAGGCAGCAGUAGGGAAUCUGCGGCAAUGGACGGAAGUCUGACCGAGCAACGCCGCGUGAGUGAAGAAGGUUUUCGGAUCGUAAAGCUCUGUUGUUAGAGACGCGGUAACUAACCAGAAAGGGACGGCUAACUACGUGCCAGCAGCCGCGGUAAUUC